rnacentral:ncRNA from 1 species
UUUUGAGCUUGACUCUAGUCUGGCAGGUGAAGAGACAUGAGAGGUGCAGAAUAAAUGGGAGGCCCCCGGCGCCCCUUCCCUGAGUCCCCGCGAGGAGGCUGGGAGGGGGGCCCGCCGCCGGCCUUGAGGGCCGCCAGUGAAAUACCACUGCUCUGAUCGUUUUUUUUCACUGACCCAGUGAGGCCUCGCGGGGCUGGAGGGGAGUGAGCCCUCCGGGGACAGUGCCAGGUGGGGAGCUUGACUGGGGCCGUACACCUGUCAAAAUGCUGACACAAUACUUUUUAUUUUAUUUUAUUUAUUUCUUUAUUUUUUCUUUCUUUAUUUGAGUGGGGGCGGGUUCGAAGAGCAAAUAAA